rnacentral:rRNA from 1 species
CCUACGGGAGGCAGCAGUGAGGAAUAUUGGUCAAUGGGCGUAAGCCUGAACCAGCCAAGUCGCGUGAGGGAUGAAGGUUCUAUGGAUCGUAAACCUCUUUUAUAAGGGAAUAAAGUGUGGGACGUGUCCUGUUUUGUAUGUACCUUAUGAAUAAGGAUCGGCUAACUCCGUGCCAGCAGCCGCGGUAAUACGGAGGAUCCGAGCUUUAUCCGGAUUUAUUGGGUUUAAGGGGUGCGUAGGCGGCCUUUAAGUCAGCGGUGAAAGUCUGUGGCUCAACCAUAGAAUUGCCGUUGAAACUGGGAGGCUUGAGUAUGUGUGAGGCAGGCGGAAUGCGGGGUGUAGCGGUGAAAUGCUUAGAUAUCACGCAGAACCCCGAUUGCGAAGGCAGCCUGCCAAGCCAUGACUGACGCUGAUGCACGAAAGCGUGGGGAUCAAACAGGAUUAGAUACCCCAGUAGUC